UCUCUUUCUGGAGAUUGUUCUUCUUGGAGUUUUUCCUGUAAGCCUUCAACACAGUCAUCCCUGUGGUCUGAACUAAUGACAUUAUCUCCCAGGAGAUCAUUAUCUGAUGAUUGCAUCCCAUCAUGGAUUGUUCUCAGUGACCUGAGAGCUGCUGGAAAAUAUUUUUGUAACACCUGCCACAUCCGCAUCUCCUGUUGGACAUUCGUUUCCCCCUUUGGCUUGAUGCCCUGCUAUGUUUUCUGCAGUCUGUUCUCCUCUGUUACAAAGACAGUUUGGUUUCCUGGAUUAUAGCUGCCUGGG
ensembl:lncRNA